AUCGCUUCUCGGCCUUUUGGCUAAGAUCAAGUGUAAAAACUGGUCUGGUCAAGAGGUCCCGGUGUUGGCAACGCAAGCCCCU